rnacentral:rRNA from 1 species
GUGGGGAAUCUUGCGCAAUGAGCGAAAGCCUGACGCAGCCAUGCCGCGUGAAUGAUGAAGGUCUUAGGAUUGUAAAAUUCUUUCACCGGGGACGAUAAUGACGGUACCCGGAGAAGAAGCUCCGGCUAACUUCGUGCCAGCAGCCGCGGUAAUACGAAGGGGGCUAGCGUUGCUCGGAAUUACUGGGCGUAAAGGGCGCGUAGGCGGACAGCUUAGUCAGAGGUGAAAGCCCAGGGCUCAACCUUGGAAUUGCCUUUGAUACUGGCUGUCUUGAGUUUGGGAGAGGUGAGUGGAACUCCGAGUGUAGAGGUGAAAUUCGUAGAUAUUCGGAAGAACACCAGUGGCGAAGGCGACUCACUGGCCCAAUACUGACGCUGAGGCGCGAAAGCGUGGGGAGCAAACAGGAUUAGAAACCCCUGUAGUCC